GGCAGGAGAAUCGCUUGAACCCAGGAGGUGAAGGUUGCAGUGAGCUGUGUUCGCCCCAUUGCACUCUAACUGACAGAGCAAGGCUUGUCUCAAAAGAAAAAAAAGAUAGCCCACUUCUUUGGACCAAACAAAUGUAUAUACACCUUCUAUGUAUUGAAUUAUGUCUUUGCCUGUAAUUCCUGCCUCCCUGAAACAUAUAAAACCAAACCGUAAUCCACCUGCCUAGAGCAUGCUUGCUUAGGACUCCUUGAGACUCUGUCCAGGCUGUGGCCACUUACAUUGGCUCAGAAUAAACCUUUGUAAGAUAUUUUACAGAAUUUGGUUUUUCUGUUAACACUGGUGAGGAGGACUCAGAAGAAAUAUUAGAGACAGGCUAAUUGUUUUAGAGAUUA